rfam:Enterobacter cloacae S611 EDP2.NODE_1914, whole genome shotgun sequence.
GGCGCUUCCGGUCGGACUGUGCCGAAAGUUCUGAUGAUAAGACCAGAAGGGGGAAACCGCGGAAGUCAUAUGCGAGGCAACGGGUCUGUCGCAAAGGUGUGCCGGCAGAUUUGUC